AUGAAAGAAUUAAAACAAUGGAGCAUGGUGAAAUUUGGAAUUGUUUUAAAGAAGAUAGAGUCACUGCGUAAUAACCUCGCCAAGUUACAGCUAGCAGGUGCGGACCGGGCACAUAUUCGCACUAAAAUGAAUCAGCUUGAUGAGUUGUUAUACAGAGAGGAAAUGCUUUGGCUUCAACGCUCCCGUAUUACUUGGUUGAAGGAGGAAGAAAGAAACACCAAAUAUCUGCACCGACGUGCAGUCUGGCGUGCCCGCCGCAACCAUAUCCAACGUUUGUUGAAGGAGGACGGCUCGUGGAGCAAUGUCCCAAGUGACAUGGAGAGAAUGGCCAACUCUUAUUUCAAGGAGAUCUUCACAAUGGACCCAACACUUACUCCGGAUGUGGUCCUGGAUUGUAUCACGCCGCGGGUUACAACCGCAAUGAACGAUUCACUUUGCAAGCCUUAUACGGAUGAGGAGAUAUCUAAUGCCCUGUUCCCGAUUGGUCCCUUGAAGGCCCCGGGCUGUGAUGGUUUCCCCGCUCGUUUCUAUUAG
rnacentral:rRNA from 1 species